rnacentral:rRNA from 1 species
UACGUAGGGUGCAAGCGUUAAUCGGAAUUACUGGGCGUAAAGCGUGCGCAGGCGGUUCGCUAAGACAGAUGUGAAAUCCCCGGGCUUAACCUGGGAACUGCAUUUGUGACUGGCGGGCUAGAGUAUGGCAGAGGGGGGUAGAAUUCCACGUGUAGCAGUGAAAAUGCGUAGAGAUGUGGAGGAAUACCGAUGGCGAAGGCAGCCCCCUGGGCCAUACUGACGCUCAUGCACGAAAGCGUGGGGAGCAA